GAGUCCAGAGUCUCCGAGGCGACACACCAAGUAAGUAAAAAUUCUCACGCUGCAAAUUUGUUUCCUGAGAUUUUUCCAAUCAAUCUUCGUAAUCGCGAUUCUGAAGUAACCUAAUGAAAUUUACAGUUGUUGAAGCUCUGAAGAUUUAACUAAAUGGGAUGAUCAUGCGUCAGGCUUGAAAUCUGUUUGAUGGAUCAAUCAAAGAUAAGCAUGGAUUGGGAGGAAGCAUUCAAUCAGUAUAAAAACAUAAUUGCUUACCAGAAUGAGGACUUGCAAGUAAGAGCCACUAUCAGGCUUGCUCAACAAUCUUAUCAUGUUCCAGAAGAUAUAUUAGUGCGGACUGUGCCAAUACUUGCUGGGCUUCUUGCUUACCCUCCAAGGACUUUAAGCCCCGCUAUUCAAGAAGUUGCUGCUUACUGCUUAAAUUGCAUUGCUCGUCAGGGUGAUGGAAACAGAUUGGCAGAGAUUGUUGGUCAAUCCGGUGCCAUCACUUCAUUCUUGAGGUUGUUACCACAUUCUGAGGGCAGCUUUCAGAGAGUUCUGAUUAAAUGUAUUUGGAGUCUAGUCACUUGUUGUGACACAAAUCGGGCAAUAGUAGCCAGGAAUGGUGGGUUGGAAACUAUCAUCAGAAUGUUUAUUUCAUGUGUGGAUGGUACACGACGGUACUUGUUAGAGAUCUUAAGUGCAAUGGCUUUGUCGAAAGAGGCUAGGAGGGUUAUUUUCAGCUCAGGAGGCCUUUCCGUUCUUGUUGAAUCAGCUAGCCAUGGCAGCAUGAUUUCUAGGGAAAGAGCUGCUCAGGCAAUUGGAUUACUUGGAAUAACAAGAAGGGUAAAACGUAUGCUUGUUGAUGUGGGUGCAGUUCCAGUGCUUGUCGAGUUAUUGCGGGUUGGAGAUAUUCCGACAAAACUAGUUGCUGGUAAUGCUCUUGGUGUGAUAUCAGCUCAUGUUGAUCACAUUCGUCUAGUUGCUCAAGCUGGGGCUAUUCCUUUGUAUGCUGAGCUUCUUCGAGGACCCGAUCCCAUUGGCAGGGAGAUUGCAGAGGAUGUGUUUUCUAUCUUAGCUAUUGCUGAAGGGAAUGCAGUUGCGAUUGUUGAACACUUGGUGACGAUUCUUCAAGGAGAUGGCGACGAAGCAAAGGCUGCAGCUGCUGAUGUUCUAUGGGGUCUUUCUGGUUAUAAGCAUUCAGUAUCAGUUGUUCAAAAUGCUGGUGCCAUACUGAUUUUAAUUGAGCUUUUGAGGAAUGGGAAUAAUGAAGUCAGAGAGAAGGUGUCUGGGGCAAUUGCCCAACUGAGUUAUGAUGCAGUGGGCAGAACAGUGCUAGCUGAUUCUGGGGCAAUUCCAGUGCUUAUUGAUUUGCUACGAGAUGAUUCAGAUGAGUUGAGGGAUAAUGCUGCAGAAGCCCUGAUCAAUUUUUCUGAAGACCCAUUACAGCAUGGUAGAAUAUCUGAAGCAUUUGAUAACCCUUCUUUCCAAAGUAUGCAGAAUAGACUACUUCAAAUUCAUGCAUCUGAGGAACACAUGAUUAGAUCUAUGAGAAGCAUUAGCAUUGAGCAGCUCAGCAGGGACCAAGAUUGAUUGCUCUGUGUACCCUUGUGGAACCCGGUGAUGAUAUGGCACUGACGUGACAAGUGGGGCCUAAUGAUGACGUGGCGUUGAUGUGACAGUGUGGCCUAGUGCUAACGUGGCAGUGGAGCCUAGUGAUGAUUAUGCUAAAUUAUACCAGGUUUGGUGCAGCAAAUGUGGUGGUGUUGGCAUUAAAUUUUGGGGCUUUAGCUUUGUAAGCAGCCACAGGGAUACUGGUUUGGUUUUCCCAUGGCAAUUGACUCUGGUUCCAAGUCGAGAAACAAAGAGCAAACAUGGAGGUAGGACUUGCAGGAAAGAAGAAUGAAAAAAAUUAACAAAAAAAAUCUGCAGUCUAAUGACGUGAAUAUUUGUGAACAAACUGCCACUAAAACUUGUUCAAUAUGCAACAUUUCGUGUCUUGCAAGAGAGGGAGAACAUAUUAGACUAGAUUUUAUAUUAGCCAGGUGCAGGUUCGCAGAAGACACAUUCAUUUUGGAAGGGCUGCCAGAAUAAAUGUUCUAUAAAGAUAAAAGCAUUUCAUCAGACAAUUUUGCCUUAUUAGUGACGACUUCAAAUCAUUUUGUAAUCUGAUUAAAAAAAUGAUACCAUGCGUAUGGUUAGCAAGCCUGCAUAACUAAUACUGCAUUUGGGAGUAUGGAUUUCGACAUUAGAUUUAGAUUUGGGUGGAUUUGGAAAAAUUUUAGUACAAUUUUAUAUUACAUCUUAUAUAAAUCCAAUACAAAUCCAAAUCUAAGAUCUCUCUAAACAUGAGAUCAGUGUUUGGAAGUAUGGAUUUUGGAUCCUAAAUUUGGAUUUGGAUGGAUUUGGACAAAUUUCAAUACAAUUUUAUGUAUCAACUUAUCCAAA